UGGAGUUAAAAUGUUGUACAAGGUCUCCGUUGGUGAACCAGCGGAGGGAUCAUUA
rnacentral:rRNA from 1 species